rnacentral:rRNA from 1 species
UCACACUAUCAUUAACUGAAUCCAUAGGUUAAUGAGGCGAACCGGGGGAACUGAAACAUCUAAGUACCCCGAGGAAAAGAAAUCAACCGAGAUUCCCCCAGUAGCGGCGAGCGAACGGGGAGGAGCCCAGAGCCUGAAUCAGCAUGUGUGUUAGUGGAAGCGUCUGGAAAGGCGCGCGAUACAGGGUGACAGCCCCGUACACAAAAGCGCAUGUGCUGUGAGCUCGAUGAGUAGGGCGGGACACGUGGUAUCCUGUCUGAAUAUGGGGGGACCAUCCUCCAAGGCUAAAUACUCCUGACUGACCGAUAGUGAACCAGUACCGUGAGGGAAAGGCGAAAAGAACCCCGGCGAGGGGAGUGAAAAAGAACCUGAAACCGUGUACGUACAAGCAGUGGGAGCACAGGUUUACCUGUGUGACUGCGUACCUUUUGUAUAAUGGGUCAGCGACUUAU